AUUGAACGCUGGCGGCAGGCCUAACACAUGCAAGUCGAGCGGAAGAAGGGAGCUUGCUCCUGGAUUCAGCGGCGGACGGGUGAGUAAUGCCUAGGAAUCUGCCUGGUAGUGGGGGAUAACGUCCGGAAACGGGCGCUAAUACCGCAUACGUCCUGAGGGAGAAACUGGGGGAGCUUCGGACCUCACGCUAUCAGAUGAGCCUAGGUCGGAUUAGCUAGUUGGUGGGGUAAAGGCCUACCAAGGCGACGAUCCGUAACUGGACUGAGAGGAUGAUCAGUCACCCUGGAGCUGAGACACGGUCCAGACUCCUACGGGAGGCAGCAGUGGGGAAUAUGGGACAAUGGGCGAAAGCCUGAUCCAGCCAUGCCGAGUGUGUGAAGAAGGUCUUCGGAUUGUAAAGCACUUUAAGUUGGGGGGAAGGGCAGUAAGUUAAUACCUUGCUGUUUUGACGUUACCAACAGAAUAAGCACCGGCUAACUUCGUG
rnacentral:rRNA from 1 species